rnacentral:rRNA from 1 species
CGUUAGCGGCGGACGGGCGAGUAACACGUGGGUAACCUACCUAUAAGACUGGGAUAACUUCGGGAAACCGGAGCUAAUACCGGAUAAUAUUUCGAACCGCAUGGUUCGAUAGUGAAAGAUGGUUUUGCUAUCACUUAUAGAUGGACCUGCGCCGUAUUAGCUAGUUGGUAAGGUAACGGCUUACCAAGGCGACGAUACGUAGCCGACCUGAGAGGGUGAUCGGCCACACUGGAACUGAGACACGGUCCAGACUCCUACGGGAGGCAGCAGCG